rnacentral:rRNA from 1 species
CGGAAACGGUAGCACAGAGAGCUUGCUCUCGGGUGACGAGUGGCGGACGGGUGAGUAAUGUCUGGGAAACUGCCUGAUGGAGGGGGAUAACUACUGGAAACGGUAGCUAAUACCGCAUAACGUCUUCGGACCAAAGAGGGGGACCUUCGGGCCUCUUGCCAUCGGAUGUGCCCAGAUGGGAUUAGCUAGUAGGUGGGGUAACGGCUCACCUAGGCGACGAUCCCUAGCUGGUCUGAGAGGAUGACCAGCCACACUGGAACUGAGACACGGUCCAGACUCCUACGGGAGGCAGCAGUGGGGAAUAUUGCACAAUGGGCGCAAGCCUGAUGCAGCCAUGCCGCGUGUAUGAAGAAGGCCUUCGGGUUGUAAAGUACUUUCAGCGGGGAGGAAGGGAGUGAGGUUAAUAACCUCAUUCAUUGACGUUACCCGCAGAAGAAGCACCGGCUAACUCCGUGCCAGCAGCCGCGGUAAUACGGAGGGUGCAAGCGUUAAUCGGAAUUACUGGGCGUAAAGCGCACGCAGGCGGUCUGUCAAGUCGGAUGUGAAAUCCCCGGGCUCAACCCGGGAACUGCAUUCGAAACUGGCAGACUCGAGUCUUGUAGAGGGGGGUAGAAUUCCAGGUGUAGCGGUGAAAUGCGUAGAGAUCUGGAGGAAUACCGGUGGCGAAGGCGGCCCCCUGGACAAAGACUGACGCUCAGGUGCGAAAGCGUGGGGAGCAACAGAAAACCCCCCCCGGGGAAAAAAAAACAGUGGUUUUUACUC